rnacentral:rRNA from 1 species
UACGUAGGGUCCGAGCGUUGUCCGGAAUUAUUGGGCGUAAAGGGCUCGUAGGCGGUCCGUCGCGUCGGGAGUGAAAACUCGGAGCUUAACUCCGAGCCUGCUUCCGAUACGGGCAGACUAGAGGUCGGCAGGGGAGAGCGGAACUCCUGGUGUAGCGGUGGAAUGCGCAGAUAUCAGGAGGAACACCGGUGGCGAAGGCGGGACUCUGGGCCAUUACUGACGCUGAGGAGCGAAAGCGUGGGGAGCGAACAGG